UCUGUCAGCCCAGGAUGCUAGCGCGGCUAGCGCGGUUAGCGCGACCAGCGCCGGUGCUAGUGCCUCUGUCUCUGACUCGCGAGUGGAUAAUAUGAGUCCUGUGGAUCGGUCUUCCGUGGAUGAUCCCGCAACUCAACCAGUGCUGAAGUAUCCGGUGGCUUUUCCUGCUUUAGGGAGUUUAUGUAGGACCGCCAGAGGAUAACAGUAAGGGCUACGGUCCUCCGCUCCAGCAGAGGGAGCCAUAUCUCAUGAAUUGAAGCCAGACUCCCAUCCAAUGCUCCCAUGUUUAGAGCCUGUAAACCACCGGCAGUUGGAGAAAAUAUGCUGGAGGACAAACAAGGAGGUGGAUAAACACUCCACUCCUCUGUUUACAAAAGGAAGAUCAAAUACCUCGAGAAAUGAGAGAAAGAUUAAGAGAUGUCUCCACCCUCUCCUCCUCCGGGCUCCUCGGCGUGGGAGUGAGUUUGGGUGUCUGACGGUGUGUGUGCGUAUCGUAGGCGGCUCCAGCGGGCAUUAUUCUUGUACAGGUGACCCAUCAUGUUCUGGCUGAGCGGACUGGGCUCGGUAAAGCGGUGCCACUCCUCAAACAGAGGCUGCACAAUGUAGGAGAUGAAUCCUGAGAAAAAACAUAACGAAGGUCACCUGUCAGGUUAAUAGCCAAAAUUCAGAAAACAGUAUCCACAUGAAUAAAAGAGAUGCCAUAACAACAUAUGAUGCUGAUGCGGACCAUCAUAAAAUCUUUAGGGUAAUAUUUUAACAAUUUGAUGAAUGCCAAAAAAAGGUAGGGAACACAAGUAUUUGUUCAAACAUUAUUCAGGUAUCAAUACAAUUACUUUGAACAGAGACAAUCUCUGAAAAGAUUUACAUCCAGGUCUUAAUUAAGACUUAAUUUUUCAGAUAUAUCCGACUUGGUGCUUAAUGUACCAAAGGUGCCUGAAAACCAAACAAACAUGGAUGCCAGACGUCUGCUAAAGUCUGUUUUUCAAGGAAAGGAACCCCAUAUUUAUGGAAAUAGUGCCAUGUUGGUGACAGUAUAUUUAACCCUCACACAGCCACCUCUGCAAUCUUAAAACCGUCUUGAGUUGUCCUGUAAGUUUCUUUCAAUCGUCUGUUAAUAUAAAGCCAGGUGGUUUGUGGGUGUUGUGGUCUUGCUCAAAAUAAAUUUAGACUAUAAAUAAUUUCCACUGCUGUAAAAUAAAUGUUAAUGGUAUCUAGGUAUUUGAAAACCACUACAGCAUUAAAGUGCUACAUGCCGUCCCUUUCAUAGGACACCAAGUAUUUUAUCUUUUUGUAUUUUUUUUUUAACCACA